GACGAACGCUGGCGGCGUGCUUAACACAUGCAAGUCGAACGGAAAGGCCCCUUCGGGGGUACUCGAGUGGCGAACGGGUGAGUAACACGUGAGUAACCUGCCCUUGACUUCGGGAUAACUUCAGGAAACUGGGGCUAAUACCGGAUAGGAAUCCUUGCUGCAUGGUGGGGGUUGGAAAGCUUCGGCGGUUUUGGAUGGACUCGCGGCUUAUCAGCUUGUUGGUGGGGUAGUGGCUUACCAAGGCUUUGACGGGUAGCCGGCCUGAGAGGGCGACCGGCCACAUUGGGACUGAGAUACGGCCCAGACUCCUACGGGAGGCAGCAGUGGGGAAUAUUGCACAAUGGGCGGAAGCCUGAUGCAGCAACGCCGCGUGCGGGAUGACGGCCUUCGGGUUGUAAACCGCUUUCAGCAGGGGCGAAGCUUGUGGUGACGGUACCUGCAGAAGAGGCACCGGCUAACUACGUG
rnacentral:rRNA from 1 species